rnacentral:rRNA from 1 species
GACGAACGCUGGCGGCGUGCUUAACACAUGCAAGUCGUACGGUAAGGCCCUUUCGGGGGUACACGAGUGGCGAACGGGUGAGUAACACGUGAGUAACCUGCCCACAACUUUGGGAUAACGCUAGGAAACUGGUGCUAAUACUGGAUAUGUGCUCCUGCUGCAUGGUGGGGUUUGGAAAGCUCCGGCGGUUGUGGAUGGACUCGCGGCCUAUCAGCUUGUUGGUGGGGUAGUGGCCUACCAAGGCGGCGACGGGUAGCCGGCCUGAGAGGGUGACCGGCCACAUUGGGACUGAGAUACGGCCCAGACUCCUACGGGAGGCAGCAGUGGGGAAUAUUGCACAAUGGGCGCAAGCCUGAUGCAGCAACGCCGCGUGCGGGAUGACGGCCUUCGGGUUGUAAACCGCUUUCAGCAGGGACGAAGCUUUUUGUGACGGUACCUGCAGAAGAAGCACCGGCUAACUACGUG